rnacentral:rRNA from 1 species
UAGUCUACGCCGUAAACGAUGGUUACUAGCUGUUCGGCAUUUAUGUUGAGUGGCUAAGCGAAAGUGAUAAGUAACCCACCUGGGGAGUACGUUCGCAAGAAUGAAACUCAAAGGAAUUGACGGGGGCCCGCACAAGCGGUGGAGCAUGUGGUUUAAUUCGAUGAUACGCGAGGAACCUUACCAGGGCUUAAAUGUAGUAUGACAGGACUAGAGAUAGUUUUUUCUUCGGACAUAUUACAAGGUGCUGCAUGGUUGUCGUCAGCUCGUGCCGUGAGGUGUCAGGUUAAGUCCUAUAACGAGCGCAACCCCUGUUGUUAGUUGCCAGCACGUAAAGGUGGGAACUCUAACAAGACUGCCGGUGACAAACCGGAGGAAGGUAAGGAUGACGUCAAGUCAGCAUGCCCCUUAUGCUCUGGGCUACACACGUGCUACAAUGGCCGUGACAAAGAGUUGCUACUUUGUGAAAACAAGCUAAUCUCAUAAACGCGGCCUCAGUUCGGAUUGCAGGCUGAAA